AUACGAUGAAUUGAAUAGAAUAUUUUUUACAAUUUUUAUGAACUCACGCGCGUUGAUAUAGAAAAUAAAAAGUUAUACAUAUGUAUACAUUCUUAUCUAAAACUUUUGAACAAAGGAUGUUGCAUUAUUACACAGAAAUUUGAAACAAGAUAUGAAAGAUCGCGGACUUAUUAAUGAAUUUAACUUAAAAAAGUAAUUUUGACAGUUUUAAUGCAAAAAAUCUAAUUGGAAUUUUCAAACCAAGAUUUCAAUUGGUAUUAUACGAACAAACAAUAGGGGAAAAA